rnacentral:rRNA from 1 species
GUUGACCUCGGAUCAGGUAGGGAUACCCGCUGAACUUAAGCAUAUCAAUAAGCGGAGGAAAAGAAACCAACAGGGAUUGCUCUAGUAACGGCGAGUGAAGCAGCAAUAGCUCAAAUUUGAAAUCUGGCGUCUUCGACGUCCGAGUUGUAAUUUGUAGAGGAUGCUUCUGAGUGGCCACCGACCUAAGUUCCUUGGAACAGGACGUCAUAGAGGGUGAGAAUCC